GGCAAAGUUUUCAAGCGUGGGGCUGUGCUGUGUGGAAGACUGCGGCAAAGUCAGGCAGUGAUACCCAUGAGCAGCUCAAUUCCAGCUUGAUCAAUGUACCCGCUAUUUAUUGACGUGAGUUAGACUCCCUCGUUAUGCGUUGGCCCCAAAUUGAGUUGGAUUGUGUGGUAACUUUGCUUCUCCCGACUUGCUAAUUUUACUCUACAUUUUUCUCUCUUUCUGUGUGCCCAACUCUCCAGGAAAAAGAAAAUGGAUGUGUUUUGAAAGAGAAACUAGAUAUGACGAAGGAAAAGAAACUUGGCAAGCUGAAAAAAGAGACUUGCUGGUCCUUCUUUGACAAGAAAAAGAUAAUGAGCGAGUUAUACGGAACAUUUUUUCCGAUUUAAAGGGCAAAUUUCGGGUGUUUUUCAGGAUUCACCAAUCGAACCCCACUGAAAAAAUUGUGAAACCUUAUUUAAACGUCUUGAAUUACCACCAAACCAUUGAAGAAUCUUCAGAGUUACCAAUACGGAAAUUUAAAUACGUCCGAAAACAUCACAGGAACAGCUAUUUUUUGAGGUAUUCUCAUUAAGAACCAGCUCCAACGUGCCAGGAAAGCAUGAAUUUCCGCUGCCACACAGGCCGAUGAUGAAUACUCUUCAAGGAGUCACUUCAUCGUGGCAACUUUAAAAAACAUGAAAGAGAAUGCCAACGAAAUCCUUGAAGGAACUUUUUAUCUGAUUGAUUUUGUGGGAUCUGAAUCAUAUGAUUCUAAAAGCGCUCAUCAAAGGAAAGGAGAAACGUCCCCCAUAAACACUUCUCUUUCUGAACUCACCUCGGUUUUUCGAGCUUUCUCCGAAAAAAAUUAUACUUUUCGAAAUUCUAUUUUGAUUUGUUUCCCAGAACUUUUUGAACAGCAGCAUAAAAAGUUCUAAUGAUGUUGAAUGUGGCCCCUAUUGAUAGCUGUUCUUGAGAGACAUAAAUAUCAUUAGAAUUCUGCAAUACAGCUAACUGUUGCUUGAUUGGUUCUGCUCGAUUGUGAUCCAGGAUGUCACAUGGUUCAUCAAUUCCCCAGCUAAAACAAAUACCCGGACUCCCCACCAAAAAAACCUCGGUGCUCCCGAAAAAAGCAGUCCUUUGCCUAUGCCUUUGACAUAGAGGAUAAAAUCCACCAUUUCCUGUGUAGAAGAGUUCCAUUUUGAUCCAGUUUUUCUCCACCGAGUAUUUAUUCACAAAUAAAUGUCAAAAUUAAUUGUUUUAUCUUUCUUAUUAGGCGGGAACGCUGGAUCUGAAUCCGCAGGAUAGAUUCCCCACAGCUUGGAGUUUUUUUCUCAGUUUCAAUCCCUUAAAUCAAAAGAAUGGGAAUUCAAAUUAGGGGUCUCUUUUUGGAAAAUGUACAAUAAUAAGGUAUAGAUCUACUGAACUUCACUGCUGGUGCCUUAAAAAUAAGGGAAAAGAUGGCCCAAAAUUACGUUCCUAGAAGGUAUGAAUGGUACUAAUGUUCCCCAUAUACGACGUCGGAUUUGGUACAACCUUUUGGCGUCACCAAAUAUUUUUCCGUGAGAAAUCCAAUUGUGUAGGUCCAUUGCCGUCCCUAAAACGACUUUAUUUGGAUCACUCUUUUAUAUCCAUAUUCCGUUGUAAUUAGACCUUAUUCGUACUAGUAGGACACCCAAUUUCUUCUGCAUCAGUAAAAAAAUCAUUCAGGCUUGGAAAUGUUAUUUACCUCAAUAAACUAAUUUCUUCUCUUAUUGAAAAAACGAUGGUUGCUCGGUCAAGUAACUGGCCGAGGUCGAUCGAAGAGUUUCAUUCUGGUCUAAAGUUUUGUCCAGGAUAUAUCAAUUCGCAUAGCUUUCAAAUGUUGAAUGCUUUCAGAUAUUUUGUCAAUUUCUUUCUGCGUUGUCUCUUCUUUUUUUAUUCGUCCCGCAUUUUCAAAUGAUUCUUCAUCAAUUCCAUGAGUUACAAGCCAAUUGUGAGUGUCUUCCGCUUUUUCGAGUUGUAAUUUAAUAUCUCGCUGUUUCUUUUUUUUAAUUUGCUUCCAUAUUCAUCACUUCCUCAAAAUCGUUCAAAAUUUUUUUCUCUGUUUGCUUCAUGCUUAGCGAUGAGGCUUUAAUGACUUGAUUUGCCAGCUGUUCAAAUAAAUCAAAAGCAUCGCAGACUUUCUUUGUCAACCUGGCUCCAGCGUCAACCACUUCUUUGAUAUUAUCCAGGCGUCUGUCCAAAAAUGUCUUCAAUUUUACUCUCGUUUGAACUUGUUACGCACCUCACGCAAUCUCUUGCGUAGCCAGAUACUUGACCCUCUGUAAUAACAGAAUGUUCUCCAAAUUUUUAUGAGCUUUCGCAAAGUUUUCGUUGGAUUCUUUGGCGAUUUGCCACAAAAUUGUGCGGAAACUCUCUGGAGCUAAAUAAAUUG